UACGAAGGGGGCUAGCGUUGCUCGGAAUCACUGGGCGAAAAGUGCACGUAGGCGGCUUUCUAAGGCAGGGGUGAAAUCCUGGAGCUCAACUCCAGAACUGCCUUUGAUACUGGAGAGCUUGAGUCCGGAAGAGGUGAGUGGAACUCCGAGUGUAGAGGUGAAAUUCGUAGAUAUUCGGAAGAACACCAGUGGCGAAGGCGGCUCACUGGUCCGGUACUGACGCUGAGGUGCGAAAGCGUGGGGAGCAAACAGG
rnacentral:rRNA from 1 species